rnacentral:rRNA from 1 species
UACGAAGGGGGCUAGCGUUGUUCGGAAUUACUGGGCGUAAAGCGCGCGCAGGCGGCUUGGUAAGUUGGGGGUGAAAUCCCUGGGCUCAACCCAGGAAUGGCCUUCAAGACUGCUUGGCUGGAGGACGAGAGAGGUGAGUGGAAUUCCCGGUGUAGUGGUGAAAUGCGUAGAUAUCGGGAGGAACACCAGUGGCGAAGGCGGCUUUCUGGCCCGUUCUUGACGCUGAGGCGCGAAAGCUAGGGUAGCAAACGGG